rnacentral:snRNA from 8 species
AGAAGAUUAGCAUGGCCCCUGCGAAAGGAUGACACGCAAAUCCGUGAAGCGCUCCUUAUUUUC